rnacentral:rRNA from 1 species
UACUACAGCAUGGAAUAACAAAAUUGAACAAGUCAGAAUUCUGUUCUUUUUUCUUAUUUUGGCUUAGUUACGAUUAAUAGGAGUAGCUUGGAGGCAUUUGUAUUCAGAUGUCAGAGGUGAAAUUCUUAGAUUUUCUGGAGACAAACAACUGCGAAAGCAUUUGCCUAAAAUACUUCCAUUAAUCAAGAACGAAAGUUAAGGGAGUGAAGACGAUCAGAUACCGUCGUAAUCUUAACCAUAAACUAUGCCGACUAGGUUUUGGAUGAAACAUUUUUAAAUAAGAAAAUUCCUUUCGGGGAAAUUUCUUAGAUUGCUUCCUUCAGUACCUUAUGAGAAAUCAAAGUCUUUGGGUUCUGGGGCGAGUAUUCGCGCAAGCGAGAAAGUUAAAAGAAUUGACGGAAGGGCACCACCAGGCGUGGAGCUUGCGGCUUAAUUUGACUCAACACGGGGAAACUCACUAGUUUAAGACAAGAGUAGGAUUGACAGAUUAAUAGCUCUUUCUUGAUUUCUUGGAUGGUGAUGCAUGGCCGUUUUUAGUUCGUGAAUAUGAUUUGUCUGGUUAAUUCCGAUAACGAACGAGAUCUUAACCUGCUAAUUAGCGGCGAAUACGU